rfam:Fabibacter sp. 4D4 scaffold1_cov115_read172, whole genome shotgun sequence.
GGGGCCGACUGGAAUUGACAGUAGGUGAAAUGCGAGUGUAAGCAUGUCGGGAGUUGUUCGUAUUUCCCGUAAAUAAAACGAUCAUACUUUAUAAAUGGCGAAAGACAAUACGCCCUUGCUGCCUAAUUAGUAUUAGAUAGCAAUGUGUCUCGCUGACCCCCUGUUCUGCCGGGUCGGCAACCGAGGCAUCAACUGCGGAACUGGCGCUUGCGGAGUUGUGACGUAAGCGUAAGACUAAUCGCAUCUAAGGUUUGAAUCAGGGUGGCUGCUGUCCUUAUCAAACUCGAAAAUUAAUCAGCAAAUAAGCAUGUAGAAGGCACUUAGUGUUCCUUAUCUGGACGAGGGUUCGAUCCCCUCCGGCUCCACAA